AGGUGCUGCAUGGCUGUCGUCAGCUCGUGUCGUGAGAUGUUGGGUUAAGUCCCGCAACGAGCGCAACCCUUGUCAUUAGUCGCUACGAAAGGGCACUCUAAUGAGACUGCCGGUGACAAACCGGAGGAAGGUGGGGAUGACGUCAAGUCCUCAUGGCCCUUAUAGGUGGGGCUACACACGUCAUACAAUGGCUGGUACAAAGGGUUGCCAACCCGCGAGGGGGAGCCAAUCCCAUAAAGCCAGUCGUAGUCCGGAUCGCAGUCUGCAACUCGACUGCGUGAAGUCGGAAUCGCUAGUAAUCGUGGAUCAGCAUGUCACGGUGAAUACGUUCCCGGGUCUU
rnacentral:rRNA from 1 species